CAAACAAAACAAAAAAAAAGAAAAACAGAGAUGAGAACACUGUCUGCCCGUGGACUCCUGUGAGGAGGAAUGAGUGUGCGUGACAGUACGAUGCCUGCGGGUAUGAAGUACGGCAGUCGCGGCAACCUACGCUGGGGGUCAGAGGUGAGCCUCCACUGAUGAAGAAGCCAGUGUGUACCCAGCACAGAGAGGAGACUUAACGUGCUUGCAGGAUCUUGGUUCAUGAGCCAGGGGUCAGGCUGAAGUUCCUGAGAUGGGAGCUCCAAGUCCGAACCAGAGAACCUCAGACACCAGGGAAUAUUGUUCAGAGUGAGGUCUCCUGGAGGUCCUCAUCUCAGCACCAAGACCCAGCUCUA